CUUCACGAACCCCGCUGGGACCUCCAGACUUUCAUCCGUUAGUGGAUAAUCAUAUGAACGCAGCACCGUUCGGUACUUUUAUACUCCCGAAGCGAGAACGACCAUAUGCCUGAACACUGUGGUUCUAAUUCUGGGUUGACUUCUGCCUAGCGGCCGCGGUGGCAAACUUUAACCCCAUGGCGUUCCCACUAUAUUCGUGAGAUCUGAG